AAAAUCAGUCAAUUCCAAUUUAAUUGUGAAAUAAAUUACUCUUUUUACACCCUCUCCUUACCGUUUCAACCACUCUACAAUCUGUUCCAAAAUUAAACCACAAUCAACUCUCAAUUAUACUCCCACAUUAUGUAGUAUAUUAAUCCUCAUACCCUAAUCUCUCCUCCUCACUCAAAUUCGCAGUCACUCUCUUUUCACUUUUGAACCACAAAGCGGCGGAGUGAGCAGUAGAGGAGUUCAUCUUUCUCUCUUCCAAAUCCUAAUUUGACCACGAAAUUUGGAUCAAAUUCGGAAGGGGAAAAACCAGAAGCUUCGAUCUUUUUGCCUAAGCCGAUUUGUUGCUAAAGAAAAAGUUCAUCAUUGGGAUGGAGGAGGGGCCAAGAACAACACUGUUCUUAAGCAGCAGCAGGAAGAACUUGGUGGUGCAGUUCCUACUGAAGCACAGCAUCGAUGGAGUGCUCACAAGAGGGGCAGUAAUGGAGGCAGCAGAGGAGCACGGCAUAAGCAGGAAGACAGUUUAUAGGCUGUGGAAGAAAGCAAAACAACAGAUGCAAAUGGGGGAACCUGCAAUCAUGGAAGGCAAGGUUAAAGGCUAUCAUCAUUCAAACAAGUUAAUUCUAGAUGAAGAAAAGGUUAGAACUUUAUCCACACUUGAAAGGUCUUCAAUUAGAAACAUUGCACACAAAUUGUCUGUUAGCAAAAGUACACUUGGUCAGUGGAUUAAGGAGGACAAAUUAAGGCCACAUACAAAUGCUAUCAAACCUGUCCUAACUGAUGCAAAUAAGUUAGCUAGGUUGAAAUGGUGCCUUAGUAAACUUCAGCCAAGUAUAAAUGCAGGUAGAGUUCAGUUUGAAAGCAUGCACAAUGUUGUGCAUAGUGAUGAAAAAUGAUUCUAUAUGACCAAGGCAUCAGACAUGUAUUACCUCUUGCCGGAUGAGGAUGAGCCAUAUAGGGCAUGCAAGUCAAAGAGGUUCAUCACCAAAGUGAUGUUCAUGUGUGCUGUAAGUAGGCCUGUGUUUAGCUUGGAUGGCCAAACCAAAUUUGAUGGAAAGUGGUGCCAGCAAAAAGGAAAUCCAAGAAUAGGCCUAGAGGCACACUUGAGCCUAAACCAAUCCAGUCAGUUAACAAGAGUGUGAUGAGUGACUGCAUUAUACACCGGAUUUUACCAGCAAUUAAGGCCAAGUGGCACAAGACAAUGCCACACCCCACAUAAAUGGUGUGGAUGCUGAGUUUGAGGCGGUUGCCAAAUCAGAUGGAUUUAAAAUCCAUCUGAUUUGUCAACCACCUAAUUCACCUGACACCAACAUUUUAGACCUAGGUUUUCUCAGGGCCAUUCAGACAUUGCAGCAUGAGAAACCAUGCAAUAAUGUUGACACAUUGUUGGAGAAUGUGUGUAGCUCUUAUGAGAGCUGUCACCACAAACCAUAAACAGAGUAUUCCUCUAAUUGCAGGCUUGCCUCACACAGAUCAUGGUAUUUAGGGGUGGGAACAAUUACAAGGUCCCUCACAUUAACAAGAACAGGUUGGAAAGAACUGUGGGGCUGCCCAAUGCACUGGAUGUGGAUGAGGAGCUUGUGAGAGAUGUGUUGGAGUACUUGUGGAUAUGACAUUAGGGCUUUGGCUUCUGCUUUUGGAUUCUAGAUAGAUAGUGGAAGUGUUUUGGUAGUAAGGCCUUCAUGUUUUUGGUCAGUAAGGUCUGAUAUUUUGUGUUUUGUAUGCAAAACUAGUGCAAAGAACAUGUAAUGCACAUAUUUAAUGAAG